rnacentral:rRNA from 1 species
GUGGGGAAUAUUGGUCAAUGGGCGCGAGCCUGAACCAGCCAAGUAGCGUGCAGGAUGACGGCCCUAUGGGUUGUAAACUGCUUUUAUGCGGGGAUAAAGUGCACCACGUGUGGUGUUUUGUAGGUACCGCAUGAAUAAGGACCGGCUAAUUCCGUGCCAGCAGCCGCGGUAAUACGGAAGGUCCGGGCGUUAUCCGGAUUUAUUGGGUUUAAAGGGAGCGCAGGCUGGAGAUUAAGCGUGACGUGAAAUGUAGCCGCUCAACGGCUGAGUUGCGUCGCGAACUGGUUUUCUUGAGUGAGUACGACGUCAGCGGAAUUCGUGGUGUAGCGGUGAAAUGCUUAGAUAUCACGAAGAACCCCGAUUGCGAAGGCAGCUGACGAGUCCUUUACUGACGCUAAAGCUCGAAGGUGCGGGUAUCGAACAGG